AAAAUCACUAAAACCUAAAACCCAAGAGAGCCCAUCGUUAGUUAAAGAGAUGAAAAUUUUGGUUAAGGUGAUGGAUGCUAGGUUGCAGCAGCAUUGGACUAUGCUAAGAAAACAAAUCCACAACAAAAUUAGAAGAUGUACAACCAAGCUUGAGCUUCCUUCAUAAGUUUAAGACUCUGGUAAAAGAAAAGAAAAUAACAGAGAAGCAAAAGAAAAAGUGCUAUCAUUAGGUCACACAUUCCAAGAAUAACAAAGAUAGGGAGAGCAAUGAGUGAGAAACCAUAUUUGUGUUGAACCAUGAAGUUCAAUUAGCGGGAGCUAGAUUUCACUUCAUGUCUUUGAAACACAAAGAAUAUGUAGAUAAUGUAGUAAGUUCUUGUGCUAUAACAUUAACGAUUUUUCUUAUGAGUUCUUGUGUUAUAUAUGUAAAAAAUUUGGGUCCUUUGUUUUCAUAUGUGGUCUCUGCAACGUGUCAAGUUCUCAACAACAAUAAAUGUAAAAGAUUUGAAGAGUUGUAUACUAUCUCCUAUUGGAUAUUGUGAAUAACGUGUUGAUGAAACAUGAGCAUAACUACAUUGAUGAAGAAACUAAGGCCUUCAACAUCAAUGAAUCUAUUUACCUCAGUUUGCCAUGAAGACCACCGAUGGUUGUGGAUUGCGAAUAUUCAAAAGAAAAGGUUUUAUGUUCUUGACCCUAUUCAUAAAACACGUCCCUCUGACAAAAGUAAAAAAAAUCUUAAUAAAUUUGUUGUAAGUUAUUUACAUAAUACGUAUUUCUAUUUUCAUUGUGAAUUCUCUAGUGUUAAUGUUUCUUAUAUUUGCCUUUUUCUUCUUUUCAAAACUUGAUUAUAUCACAAGUGAAGGUGUAUGUUGGAACAUCACCUUUAAUAGACAAUGAA